rnacentral:rRNA from 1 species
AACGAACGCUGGCGGCAUGCCUAACACAUGCAAGUCGAACGAGACCUUCGGGUCUAGUUGCGCACGGGUGCGUAACGCGUGGGAACCUACCCUUAGGUUCGGAAUAACUCCCCGAAAGGGGUGCUAAUACCGGAUAAUGUCUUCGGACCAAAGAUUUAUCGCCUUUGGAUGGGCCCGCGUUGGAUUAGCGAGUUGGUAGGGUAAAAGCCUACCAUGGCGACGAUCCAUAGCUGGUCUGAGAGGAUGAUACUCCACACUGGGACUGAGACACGGCCCAGACUCCUACGGGAGGCAGCAGUGGGGAAUAUUGGACAAUGGGCGAAAGCCUGAUCCAGCAAUGCCGCGUGAGAGAUGAAGGCCUUAGGGUUGUAAAGCUCUUUUAGCCGGGAUGAUAAUGACAGUACCGGGAGAAUAAGCUCCGGCUAACUCCGUG